rnacentral:rRNA from 1 species
AGGACGAACGCUGGCGGCGUGCUUAACACAUGCAAGUCGAGCGAGGCCCCUUCCUUCGGGAGGGGAGCCCUAGCGGCGAACGGGUGAGUAACACGUGGGCAAUCUGCCCUACGCACUGGGAUAACUCCGGGAAACCGGGGCUAAUACCGGAUAUGACCUCCGAGGGCAUCCUCUGGAGGUGGAAAGGAUUCUGGCUAGGGAUGAGCCCGCGGCCUAUCAGCUAGUUGGUGGGGUAAUGGCCCACCAAGGCGACGACGGGUA